rnacentral:misc_RNA from 1 species
AAGACUAUUAGGUUUAAUACCUACAAUUCAAACAUAAACUCACCAAUAACUAAAUCUCUCCGAGGAGGCAUUUUUAAUGGAAGACAUGAGAAAUGGAACACAUGGAAGACAUGAGGAAUGGGUGUGUCAGUGUUUCUCCAUCUUCAUCUCCACCGACACCUCCAUCACCCCUCCCCAUUAGUGUAGGACCUGGCAACCAAAAGUACUCCUUCUCCCCUUCUCCUUCACCUUCUCCACCCUUUUCACCGCCUCCUUCAAGCCACACAUCUGCUGAAAACCUCCCACUUUUGUCUAAUAAAUUAGCUACUACUACAAACGUGAAGUCUGCAUUUUCAUUGGACCUUCCGCAUCUUGAUCAAACGGAUUCUACGAGCUCAUGCCUUCAGGACUUGCUAGAAUGGUUUUUACAGA